CACCAGGUUGAUUCUGCCUGACGUAGAGGCUAGACUCAAAGAUUAAGCCAUGCAUGUUCGCAAUCAACAGCGACAGACGGCUCAGUAAUUCUGCGAUGAUUUGCACUGGCAGGGAGAAUGACCAAUGAAACCAUUGGCUAAGAUGUCAGUUUAAGACGCAGGCCCAUCAGUUAGUUGGUAGUGUAAUGGACUACCAAGACGAUCACGGGUAACGGGAAAUUAGGGUUUUAUUCCGGAGAGGGAGCCUGAGAGAUGGCUCCCACGUCCAAGGACGGCAGCAGGCGCGAAAAUUGCCCACUCUUUUUAGAGGAGGCAGUUAGGAGACGUGAAGAAAGGAUAGACAGCAAAGUUGUCUGUGUGAAGCAAUUGGAGGGCAAGUUUGGUGCCAGCAGCCGCGG
rnacentral:rRNA from 1 species